AAAAAUAUGAUGAUUCGACAUUUAAAUAUUUAAUAUAAAAAAAUAGAAAAAUAAUUUGGGUAACCCACUACCCAGCCCAAUCCAACCCGGAAAUUAGUGGAUUUACCCAACCCGGCCCAAUGUUAUAACGGGUGGUUAUUUUCCUCGACCCAAUCCGGAGUAUCCUAUGUGGUUCGGGUUUUGGUUUUGGUCAAACCCAACUCAAUCCGGCCCACGUACACCCCUA
rnacentral:lncRNA from 1 species